CACCUGACCACACCCAUCUCUCCUGGACCCCACAGCGUGACCCUCCACACUGACCACACCCAUCUCUCCUGGACCCCACAGUGUGACCCUUCACCUGACCACACCCGUCUCUCCUCAACCCCACAGUGUGACCCUCCACCUGACCACACCCGUCUCUCCUGGACCCCACAGCGUGACCCUCCACCCGACCACACCCGUCUCUCCUGGACCCCCCAGCGUGACCCUCCACACUGACCACACCCAUCUCUCCUGGACCCCACAGUGUGACCCUCCACCUGACCACACCCGUCUCUCCUGGACCCCACAGCGUGACCCUCCACACUGACCACACCCGUCUCUCCUCGACCCCACAGUGUGACCCUUCACCUGACCACACCCAUCUCUCCUGGACCCCACAGUGUGACCCUUCACCUGACCACCCCCAUCUCUCCUGGACCCCACAGUGUGACCCUCCACCCGACCACACCCGUCUCUCCUGGGACCCCAAGAGUGACCCUCCACCCAACCACACCUGUCUCUCCUGGAACCCCAAGAAUGACCCUCCACCUGACCACCCCCAUCUCUCCUGGAUCCCACAGCAUGACCCUCCACACUGACCACACCCGUCUCUCGUCAACCCCACAGUGUGACCCUCCACCUGACUGCACCCUGUCUAGUGCAUCCCUGCACCUGUCUCUCGGCCCUCCUCACCUCCUCACUUCCUCACCUUCUCGUCGGGUCAAGCACCAACAAUCCGCUGUGUGCCUGGUGCACUGAGCCUUCUCAGGGGCCUCUGGGCCGCGUGCCAGGACACGCCCCUGGGGACUCCCAGUGCACACGUUGGUCUCCUGCACACUUGGCUCUUCUAUCUGCGGGAGCCGGCACCCACCCUACAACUGACUGCACUCUCAGAAAAGUCCCAGAAGACCCCUCACCAACCCAGCAGCACCUUGAGGCCACAUCCCACUUGCCUGCUAGCUCCUGAACCUCCCCCACCCUGUGACGGCUCACUCCUUCCUGAGCUCCUUCGGCUCCCUGCCUACCUCUGCGAGUUACCUCCUGGGCGAUGCCAGGUGACUGUAACAUCAACCAGGAGGCACUGCUGAGAAGCAGAAGGCAUGGUGCAGUGCCCAGAACGUCAUGUCCCUCAACAGAUGCUCUAUGUCUUCUCCUCCUCUCCUGGCAGAGCUUUGCUGUAGGACGAAGGCCAUUCCUCCAGUGCUGCUACUUCCAACACUGGGGAAAACAAGCUUCAGAAAGGAACGGUGUCAAAGAGGCAGGACCCACCAGCAGGGCUGCCAGCGGCCAGACGACCACAGCCCCAGCAUUCCCCAGCCACCACGGCCAACAGCCCAGGCUCCAGAAAUGCACAGCUUCAACCUUCAGAGUAAAAACCCUCCCAAGCCAACUAUUUCUUCAACAAUCGAAUUGGGGAAUGGAGGGUUCUAACCCUGCCCCUCUCUAUACCACAGAUCAUCAGAUCCCAGUUCUUGUCAGAUUGGGGAAUGGAAGGUUCUAACCCUGCCCCUCUCUAUACCACAGAUCAGAGCCCUGUUCUUGUUGGAUUGGGGAGUGGGGGGUUCUGACCCUGUCCCUCUCUAUACCACAGAUCAGAUCCCAGUUCUUAUCAGAUUGGGAAGUGGGGGGUUCUGACCCUGCCCCCUCUCUAUACCACAGAUCAUCAGAUCCCAGUUCUUAUCGGAUUGGGGAGUGGGGGGUUCUGACCCUGUCCCUCUCUAUACCACAGAUCAUCAGAUCCCAGUUCUUAUCAGAUUGGGGAGUGGGGGGUUCUGACCCUGCCCCCUCUCUAUACCAGAGAUCAUCAGAUCCCAGUUCUUAUCGGAUUGGGGAGUGGGGGGUUCUGACCCUGCCUCUCUAUAUACCACAGAUCAUCAGAUUCCAGUUCUUUUCUAAGCCCAGCACUUUGCUUCUGCCACAUGCAGUCAUCCUCAGCACCAGGAAAAGUCAGAAACAUUGAGUGAUGACGAUGACACCAAUACCAAAAGUCAAACAUUGAGUGAUGAUGAUGACACCAAUACCAACACAUGCGGCUCUGGCAGCUUUGGUA
rnacentral:lncRNA from 1 species